rnacentral:lncRNA from 1 species
UUUCCUUUUGUGGGAAUAAGUGAAAGAAAAUAACCUGAAUUGGAUGCAGAAGGGCUUUUGAAGAAAGAAGUUAUCUUAAAAUGAAGAGUGAAGGAUAAAACAAUGAAGCUUUUGUUCUGGCCAAAUCUGAGACAGGAGGGCAGAGCAAGAUGGCAGAAUAGAAGCCUAUGUCAUGUGUGCCCUCUGCAGGAAUACCACAUUUUAACAACUAUCUGCACACAGAAAAGCACCGUGAUAAGAAUCAAACAUCAGCCAAAGGCCCUAUGAUGUGGGAAGUGUUGCGAGAAGUCAGGGACCCUGAACGGAGGGACCUGCUGGAGCCGUGGCAGAGGAACA